CCUACGGGCGGCAGCAGUGGGGGAUAUUGCACAAUGGGGGGAACCCUGAUGCAGCGACGCCGCGUGGGUGAAGAAGCGCCUCGGCGCGUAAAGCCCUGUCAGCAGGGAAGAAAAUGACGGUAACUGAAGAAGAAGCCCCGGCUAACUACGUGCCAGCAGCCGCGGUAAUACGUAGGGGGCAAGCGUUAUCCGGAUUUACUGGGUGGAAAGGGGGCGCAGACGGCGAUGCAAGCCAGGAGUGAAAGCCCGGGGCCCAACCCCGGGACUGCUCGUGGAACUGCGUGGCCGGAGUGCAGGAGGGGCAGGCGGAAUUCCUGGUGUAGCGGUGAAAUGCGUAGAUAUCAGGAGGAACACCGGUGGCGAAGGCGGCCUGCUGGACUGCAACUGACGUUGAGGCCCGAAAGCGUGGGGAGCAAACAGGAUUAGAUACCCCAGUAGUC
rnacentral:rRNA from 1 species